rnacentral:rRNA from 1 species
GAUCCUGGCUCAGGAUGAACGCUAGCGGCAGGCUUAACACAUGCAAGUCGAGGGGCAGCGGGAUGUAGCAAUACAUUGCCGGCGACCGGCGGAUGGGUGCGUAACGCGUAUGCAACCUACCUUAUACAGGGGAAUAACCUUUCGAAAGGGGGACUAACACCCCAUAGUAUUGAUUUAAGGCAUCUUAGAUUAAUUAAAUAUUUAUAGGUAUAAGAUGGGCAUGCGUAUGAUUAGCUAGUUGGUAAGGUAACGGCUUACCAAGGCGACGAUCAUUAGGGGUUCUGAGAGGAAGGUCCCCCACACUGGUACUGAGACACGGACCAGACUCCUACGGGGGGCAGCAGUGAGGAAUAUUGGUCAAUGGGCGCAAGCCUGAACCAGCCAUGCCGCGUGCAAGGAAGACGGCCUUAUGGGUUGUAAACUGCUUUUACAUAAGACUAACCGUAUAUUUGCGAAUAUACCUGAAUGUAUUAUGAGAAUAAGGAUCGGCUAACUCCGUGCCAGCCGCCGC